AUGGCCGACGCCGCCGCGCUCGCCGCCGCUGUCCUCGGCGCAUCCACGCCCCCGGCGGCCGCCGCCGCGGCCUCCGCCGUGCUCGACUACCUGGCCCGCCACGCCCCCGCCGACCACCCGCGCGCCUUCUUCGCCGACGCCUUCNNNNNNNNNNNNNNNNNNNNNNNNNNNNNNNNNNNNNNNNNNNNNNNNNNNNNNNNNNNNNNNNNNNNNNNNNNNNNNNNNCCGGCGCUCGCCGGCCUCCUCCUCGCCCUCCUCGCCCCCUCCGGCCCGCUCCUCGCCGCCGCCGCCGCCGCCGACCGCCGCGACCUCAUCCGCUUCGUCUUCCCCUCCGAGCGCCUCCCCUACUGGCUCCGCGUCGCGCUCGCCGACGCCGACGCCGGCGCCCGCGCCCUCGCCUCCCCGCUCCUCGCCGCCCGCGUCGGCUCCGAGCUCCACCUCUCCGUCUUCGAGUACUUCCUCUUCUGGUUCGCCUACUACCCCGUCUCCUCCGCCGAUCCCGUCGCCUCCGCCGCCGCCCCGACCCACAAAUCGCGCUCCCGCAUCGAGUCCUGGGUCUCCACCCUCGCGCCCACCGCCGCCGGCACCCGCAAGCCGGGCCAGAAGCCUGAGCCCUGUCUGUACCUCAAGCUGCUCUACGCCUACCUCAGGGAGUUCGUGCCGACGGCCGCGUGCACGCCGGUGCGCCGGCUCACCGGCACCCUCCUGCAGCGCACGGCCAGCGAAGAAGGCGCUGACGCCGCUGACCCUUUUGCUCGCGCCGAGUUCUUCCUCCACACCCUCGUCCAGUUCUGGCUCGUGGGGGACGACUUCUCGCCGCUGCCUGUGCAGACGUACCGCGCGUUCGGACUCAAGCUGCCCUCCCGGGCUCGCGCCGAGCUGAGCGAGCAGCCGCCGUCCCCUGGGCUCGGGGACGCGGUCAAGCUGCUCGUCAUGUACCUCAACUGCUGUGUUGGUGGUCCUGCACGCAUGGUGUUCGAAGGAAUGACAGCGAGGAAUGUGGUCUGCGAUAGCCAGGUUGGAUUCUGGAAUCCCCUGAUACAGAGGCCUAUGUAUCGGUUUGUGUUGAGGGCCUUCUUGUUCUGCCCCAUUGGCGCGGUGAUAAAAAAUGCGACGCAAGUCUUCUCUGUGUGGUUGGCAUAUAUGGAGCCAUGGAAGGUUACACAGGAGGAGCUGGAUGAGUAUGACGUGUCCCGGAUGCAGGGGAUGGGCACACAGGUGAUGCAGAAAGGGGAGCUGCUGUAUACUCCGUCGUGGAAGAGUUAUGUGCUGUCCAAUUACCUGUUCUAUAGCUCGAUGGUGGUGCAUUUCCUGGGUUUUGCACACAAGUUUAUCCACUCUGAUGUCUCCUCAGUGCUCGUGAUGAUUUUAAAGGUAUUGGAAGUCUUGUCUUCAUCAGCAGAACUGGUGGAUCUUCUAUAUAAAGUGGAUAUUGCCUAUCAUUCUAAACUGGUUACUUCACCGUCAACUUCUUCUGAAUCAGAUGAUGUAAUGAAGUAUGUUCCGUCAAUCCGUGAGCAGCUAAAGGAUUGGGAGGAUGGUCUGACAGAAACUGAUGCAGAUGGAUCUUUCUUGCAUGAGCAUUGGAACUCUGAUCUAAGACUUUUCAAUAGUGGUGAGGACGGGGCUUAUCAUCUGCUUCAGCUGCUUCUGAUCCGGGCAGAGUUGGAGAUACAACGCCUGCCAGGCGACACAGUACAAGCUCUCCAGUCGUUGGAUCUGAUAAAAUCCCGGAUGAAAAAGAUCUUCCAGGGGCGCAUUGAAGGCAUCCACCACCAGAAUACUUCAGCGCAAGAGUUGCAGCAUCAACAUCCAGGGCGCGGCGAGAUAUUUACACCUAAGCAUCCCCAUUCGGGGAGGAGCAAGUUUGGCGAAGUCAGAUACAGAGGCGACUGGAUGAAGAGGCCCAUCUCGGAGACUGAAGUGGCCUGGCUCGCGAGGAUCCUUAUCCACAUCUCUGACCGGCUGAACGACGCCCUUCGACUUGGCUGCGACGGUGCUGCUGAUGAUAGCGUUGCUAACCCGACGUACAUCAAGUUUGACAGGAACGAUCUGACGACAAUAGGGGGACCGAAGGACGCCGCUAGGAUGGCUCUCGUGGCUAUCUGUUCGCUGCUGGCGGUUGUGGGACAGGCGGUGCUGAGGUUCAUGAGGGCGCACAGGGUAAAGAUCAAUCUUAGAGUUUUUGCUUCGAAGAAGCUGCUGGCUGGCCUCGUGUUGCUGUACGCGAUGGUGGCGGGGACAAAGAGAGCUUUUUAUUGA
rnacentral:rRNA from 1 species